rnacentral:misc_RNA from 1 species
GGAGGGUCUGUGAGAAUGCCAGCUGCACUAUGUGGCGUGGUCGGUUUCAAGCCAACUUCAGGGCGCUUGUCUAAUAAUGGUGUCCUUCCCCUAAAUUGGACAGUGGGAAUGCCAGGAAUACUAGCCGCGACAGUCGAGGAUGCACUUAUCACUUAUGCAGCUAUCUGUAAUCAUCCCGCAACAAGUCAACCGAUGUCUCUACCUCCGGAGUUAAAUUUCCCCUUGUUAACAUCCACACAUACAAUCAAA